AGUUGAUCUCCCACCAACAAUAUGGCUGGUAAGUACCAAAAAAACCUACAAUUUUUAGUUUUGUGGAAAUGGAUCAAGAGUAAGUUCUAUUUCUAUAGAUAUUCGAUGUGAUGCUGUUUAUAAAUAUUAAAUAUGGCCCAAAUGAUCAUCCAUAGAAUUGCUUGUACAAGAGGCAUUACACUAUGCAAUUUUACUAUGAAAGCCAUAUAUAAACAUGGAAAAUAUGUGUUAUACAACAUUCAAUGACAAAUAAUAAAGCUUAUGUAAGAACAAAUGUAUAUAAUUGGGGCUCUGUCUUAGUUACUUUCCUGUUACUUUGGUCACACACCCUGACCUCAGUCAACUUAUAGAAGGAAGAGUUUAUUAGGUUCCA
rnacentral:lncRNA from 1 species